AGAGUUUGAUCCUGGCUCAGAUUGAACGCUGGCGGCAGGCCUAACACAUGCAAGUCGAGCGGUAGAGAGAAGCUUGCUUCUCUUGAGAGCGGCGGACGGGUGAGUAAUGCCUAGGAAUCUGCCUGGUAGUGGGGGAUAACGUUCGGAAACGGACGCUAAUACCGCAUACGUCCUACGGGAGAAAGCAAGGGACCUUCGGGCCUUGCGCUAUCAGAUGAGCCUAGGUCGGAUUAGCUAGUUGGUGGGGUAAUGGCUCACCAAGGCGACGAUCCGUAACUGGUCUGAGAGGAUGAUCAGUCACACUGGAACUGAGACACGGUCCAGACUCCUACGGGAGGCAGCAGUGGGGAAUAUUGGACAAUGGGCGAAAGCCUGAUCCAGCCAUGCCGCGUGUGUGAAGAAGGUCUUCGGAUUGUAAAGCACUUUAAGUUGGGAGGAAGGGCAGUUACCUAAUACGUAUCUGUUUUGACGUUACCCGACAGAAUAAGCACCGGCUAACUCUGUGCCAGCAGCCGCGGUAAUACAGAGGGUGCAAGCGUUAAUCGGAAUUACUGGGCGUAAAGCGCGCGUAGGUGGGUUC
rnacentral:rRNA from 1 species